rnacentral:rRNA from 1 species
UACGGGGGAUGCAAGCGUUAUCCGGAUUUAUUGGGUUUAAAGGGUGCGUAGGCUGUGAGGUAAGUCAGCGGUGAAAUGCCCCCGCUCAACGGGGUGAAGUGCCAUUGAUACUGCCUUGCUGGAAUGCGGAUGCCGUGGGAGGAAUGUGUGGUGUAGCGGUGAAAUGCAUAGAUAUCACACAGAACACCGAUUGCGAAGGCAUCUCACGAAUCCGCGAUUGACGCUGAUGCACGAAGCGUGGGUAUCAAACAGGA